UUGGAGGGCAAGUCUGGUGCCAGCAGCCGCGGUAAUUCCAGCUCCAAUAGCGUAUAUUAAAGUUGUUGCAGUUAAAAAGCUCGUAGUUGAAUUUCGGGGUCAGUAGGUUGGUCAUGCCACUGGUAUGUACUGGCCUCACUGAUUCCUCCUUCCUGAUGAACUGUAAUGCCAUUAAUUUGGUGUUGCAGGGAGUCUGGACUGUUACUUUGAAAAAAUUAGAGUGUUUAAAGCAGGCUAACGCCUGAAUACAUUAGCAUGGAAUAAUGAAAUAGGACGUUCGAUCCUAUUUUGUUGGUUUCUAGGAUUGACGUAAUGAUUAAUAGGGAUAGUUGGGGGCAUUAGUAUUCAAUUGUCAGAGGUGAAAUUCUUGGAUUUAUUGAAGACUGACUACUGCGAAAGCAUUUGCCAAGGAUGUUUUCAUUAAUCAAGAACGAAAGUUAGGGGAUCGAAGACGAUCAGAUACCGUCGUAGUCUUAACCAUAAACUAUGCCGACUAGGGAUCGGAUGAUGUUAAUUUUUUAAUGACUCAUUCGGCGCCUUACGGGAAAC
rnacentral:rRNA from 1 species